CCCCUAGAUGUUCUGGGCCGCACGCGCGCUACACUGAACAGUUCAACAAGUCUUAACCUUGGCCGAUAGGUCUGGGUAAUCUUUGAACGCUGUUCGUGAUUGGGAUAGACCUUUGCAAUUAUGGGUCUUCAACGAGGAAUUCCUAGUAAACGCAAGUCAUCAGCUUGCAUUGAUUACGUCCCUGUCCUUUGUACACACCGCCCGUCGCACCUACCGAUUGAAUGGUCCGGUGAAAUCUCGGGACGGCGGCUUGGUCGCUUGCGUCCGACUGCUGAAACUUGAUUAAACCAUAUCAUUUAGAGGAAGGUGAAGUCGUANCA
rnacentral:rRNA from 1 species